GGAGGCGUACCAGAGUGGUCUAAUGGAACAGCUUGGAAAGCUGUGGUCCGCAAGGGCCCCGGAGGUUCGAAUCCUCCCGCCUCCG
rnacentral:tRNA from 1 species